AAAACGGUAUACAGCUGCGAAUUUCUUUCACAUCGGCGCAAGAUGCGAGAAGUAACAGCUGUGCUCACUCUUCUGUUACUCUUCUUUAGUAGAAAGCAAGUGUUUGUAGAAGGAGUUGAAGCUGAUACUGGCGCCAUCACAUCCAACAGUACUGAUGAACACUCCUUGCGUACAAAUCAACUUCCGGAAAACCGCUGCCACUCGAAGUACGAGGCAUACAGCCAGUGCAAGAGCAGCAGAUGCGCCGAGUGGAAGUGCUCGUACCUCUACAAAGGAUGGCCCCGACGCUGCACACGUGACUGCUUAGCCGGAUGUUUUUGUCGGCACGGGUACUUCAGAAAUACGGCCCGUCGUUGCGUAUUAGGGUACCACUGCUUCAAGGAGCACAGUCUUUACGAGCCAAAACUCGGAGAGUAAAGCGUACUGUCUACACCAUCGAGAGAGUCACUCACUUCAGUGGCAGUUGACUUCGGGCGAAAUUGGGAAAAAGCAACCUUCUAGCGAUUGUGAAAGUGGAGAAAUAAAACCCAUGUCGGGAAAAUUGGGCAUCGCCAUCCCACAGUGGAUUUGGAAUUGUACUGACUUAUAUCUCUAUGAAUAAAUAUAAUUUGAUCAUGUCACAAAUGCG